GCGUGACUUCCGGUCGAGAACCCAGCGGCUUGAGAUCCGAGAAGAGCGCGUUUCAGUUACACUCUGAAGGCAGGAAACAACCUUUUGGAAUGAGGUGUGCAACAUAAGCUUUAUGAAGAAAAUUUUUCCAGCUUUGUUGAGCACAGAUUGUCAGCCUAUUCCCCUGGACCAAUCAAUCUUGAAUGGAGAUAAGAAAUCUGUAUUAAAUCCUCAGGCAUUGCUACAUGUAUUGGUACUGAAUCAACACUUCAUCUAUGAAGAGAACGAUACCUGUGGUCCUUAUUAAUCAUCCUUUCAAUAAAAAUCUGAAGAUGAAGUGCAUCCUGCAUGACUGAGAAAGGACCCUGUGAGUUGCCUGCGCUUUGUCUUUCAUGAUUGUGCUGCGCUUUACCUUCACUAAAGCUUUAUGUCUCUAAAGGAUAUAUCCUAUGCUAAAUAAUAUGUAAAUAUACCUAUAUACCAAGGCUUGUGGAGAUGUCUCUACAGGUUCAUUUCAGUUCAACAGUAGCAGAACUAUAGAAUUUGUCCACACCACAAACCACCGAGAUGCCCACCUCUGUUUUAAGAGAUCUUAAGAGUGUCUGAGGCUAUUGAAGGCCUGGUAUCUGUUCACUGUGAUCCAGUCUCCUUAACGGUUUUGAUCAUAUUGGUUCACCAAUUCUUACAAGUUACCAAAAAUCUGGAUUGAAAACAGGAUCUUGAUAAUAUUGUGCUUCUGUAAUGGAAGUACUGUUAUUAUAUCUGAAUUGGUUUUGAAACACAUAUUUGGUCAACAUAGUGAAGUGCAUGAAAAUCAAAUAAAAAUAAAGCCAUAUGCAAAUUAAUUUUGUUGAAAAUAUAUAAAGUGGCAGAAACAGGAAGAAAAUUAAAGAUA